AUUGUUGUAGCUGCUUAUGUCUCUGCUUCCUGGACUCUUCCUAAUAGGAUUGUGAAAAUACUUGAGUAUAAGACGGAUGAAGGUCCAGUCUUCUCUCACUGACCUCUAAGGAAAAUUCUAAAGUGAAGAUUAUCAGGCCACUAUUUUGAAGUCUUCCUGUGCCCUGGAGAUCACUAAGCAGAGAUAGGAAUAUUUCAACUUGGGGAAAACUGUCACAGAGUCAAAGGAAAAAUUGUCUGCCAUCUUUGUUUACAGCCAGCACUCUCAAAAAGAGUAGAUAUUAAAUCCCAUGUACUUCAUUGAUAUUGCUCUAAAAAAUGUAACAAUCACACAGUGAAGUUCAUAGAUGCAAGAAUUGAAAUGCCAAUUUAUAGAGUAAUUCCAAAACAUUGGCCAUUCGAUUUUACUGUACAGUAACAAAUUAUUUGGCUUACUCCUAUUUUGGGAACUUCUGGACAUUCUGACUCCUCAGGACCUCAGACUGACUGCUCAGUCCUUCCACCCGCCUAUGCAGAUGCAAGCCCAGCCUUCUUUAUUAUCCAAAGUCAACUAGAAUCUAACCAGCCAGGUGGCCCUACUGUGUGACCCCCAUGGAUCUCAGCACUACCUCCUAUGAAUCACCACCUGGAUUGGAAUAUUUACUUCAGAUAGAUCAUAUUCUGAUUCACCAGCAGUUUGAGUUUGUGGAAGCCAUUUUAGGGUUUGAAACUGCUAACCAAUAUAAAAUCAAGGACAAGCUGGGACAGAAGGUUUACUAUGCCAUCGAAGACUCUAAUUUCUUAACACGUAAUUGCUGUGGGGACAAUAGACCUUUCUCCAUGAGGAUCAUUGAUAACUCAGGUCAUGAAGUCAUAACUCUACAAAGACCACUAAGAUGUGAUUCUUGUUUCUGCCCCUGCUGCCUCCAGAAGAUGGAAGUCCAAGCUCCUCCUGGUGUGCCAAUCGGUUACAUUAUUCAAACCUGGCACCCAUGCCGGCCAAAGUUUACAGUUCAAAAUGAGGAGAAACAGGACGUUCUAAAAAUUAUUGGUCCAAUCAUCACUUGCAGCUUUGGAGGAAAUGUAGAUUUUGAGAUCAAAUCUCUUGAUGAAGCAUUCGUGGUUGGCAGGAUUUCCAAACACUGGUCUGGUUUUCUGAAGGAGAUACUGACAGAUGUAGACAGUUUUGGGAUCCAGUUCCCUUUAGACCUUGAUGUAAAGAUAAAGGCUGUGAUGCUUGGCGCCUGUUUCCUCAUAGAUUUGGAACAGCCCAAUGCACUGUAUGGGGAAUAAAAUCUAAAUAAUAAUAAUAAUAAGAAGAAGAAGAAGAAGAAGAAGAAGAAGAAAAACCCUAAGAGACAAAAGUGUAUACAACUAAAGAAUACAAAUCCUUCAACAACAAAAACAUCAAUAAAAAUAAAAUGAAGGGCCAGAGAGAUUUUGGAGUUAUCUACUUAGUGGGGAUUUCAUGUUCUUUGAAAGCAGUAGAGGCCAGAGACCAAAACUACGAUUAUGGUAAUGAAUCAAUAUGCAUGUCCUCAGAGAUGUGAAGUAGAAACAUUCGUUGAGACUGAAACGAAGCAUGGUCAUAUCUUUCAUUGAAAUCACUUGAAUUAAACUAGGAUAUGCAACUCCA